rnacentral:rRNA from 1 species
UGGGGAAUAUUGGACAAUGGGCGAAAGCCUGAUCCAGCCAUGCCGCGUGUGUGAAGAAGGUCUUCGGAUUGUAAAGCACUUUAAGUUGGGAGGAAGGGCAGUAAGCGAAUACCUUGCUGUUUUGACGUUACCGACAGAAUAAGCACCGUCUAACUCUGUGCCAGCAGCCGCGGUAAUACAGAGGGUGCAAGCGUUAAUCGGAAUUACUGGGCGUAAAGCGCGCGUAGGUGGUUCGUUAAGUUGAAUGUGAAAGCCCCGGGCUCAACCUGGGAACUGCAUCCAAAACUGGCGAGCUAGAGUAGGGCAGAGGGUGGUGGAAUUUCCUGUGUAGCGGUGAAAUGCGUAGAUAUAGGAAGGAACACCAGUGGAGAAGGCGACAACCUGGGCUCAUACUGAAGAUGAGGUGCGAAAGCGUGGGGAGCAAACAGG